rnacentral:SRP_RNA from 1 species
UCGUGCUAGACGGGGAGCUGGCGGUGCCCUGUACCCGCAAUCCGCCGUAGCGGGGUCGAAUUCCCUCUCGAGGGCUAUGGGUCAGGCGGGACUGCCCGGUUAAGCGGCGCAGAAGGUUGGGUCCUGCGCGGCAGGAGCCUGUGAACCCCGCCAGGUCCGGGAGGAAGCAACGGUAAGCAGUCACUCCUGGGUGCCGCAGGGUCGCCUGGCCGGAGCUGGCUGGCCUGGUAAGCCGCUUGGCCCGGUUCGACAGAGGGUGCACGA